GUGCCAGCCGCCGCGGUAAUACGUAGGGGGCAAGCGUUGUCCGGAAUCAUUGGGCGUAAAGAGCGCGUAGGCGGUCCGUUAAGUCGGCUGUAAAAGUCAGGGGCUCAACCCUUGAAAGCCGGCCGAUACUGACGGACUAGAGUCCGGAAGAGGCGAGUGGAAUUCCCGGUGUAUCGGUGAAAUGCGCAGAUAUCGGGAGGAACACCAAUGGCGAAGGCAGCUCUCUGGGACGGUACUGGCGCUGAGGCGCGAAAGCGUGGGGAGCGAACAGGAUUAGAUACCCUAGUAGUCC
rnacentral:rRNA from 1 species